rnacentral:rRNA from 1 species
GGGAAGAAAAUGACGGUACCUGACUAAGAAGCCCCGGCUAAAUUCGUGCCAGCAGCCGCGGUAAUACGUAUGGGGCAAGCGUUAUCCGGAUUUACUGGGUGUAAAGGGAGCGCAGGCGGCCUGCCAAGUCUGGUGUGAAAACCCGGGGCUCAACCCCGGGCCUGCAUUGGAAACUGGCGGGCUGGAGUGUCGGAGGGGCAGGCGGAAUUCCUAGUGUAGCGGUGAAAUGCGUAGAUAUUAGGGGGAACCCCGGUGGCGGUGGCGGCCUGCUGGUCGNUGNCUGNCGCUGCGGCUCGNANGCGUGGGGCGCCUUUUAAGUUGGNUCCCNNGGUNGUCCNCGCCGUNNGCGCCCUUUUAAAGGUGUCGGGGGGCAGGGCCUCCCGGUGCUGCAGCAAACGCAGUAAAGUAUUCCACCUGGGGAGUACGUUCGCAAGAAUGAAAUUCAAAGGAAUUGACGGGGACCCGCACAAGCGGGGGAGCAUGUGGUUUAAUUCGAAGCAACGCGAAGAACCUUACCAAGCCUUGACAUCUUCCUGACAGCAUAUGUAAUGUAUGUUCCCUUCGGGGCAGGAAAGACAGGUGGUGCAUGGUUGUCGUCAGCUCGUGUCGUGAGAUGUUGGGUUAAGUCCCGCAACGAGCGCAACCCCUGUUCCCAGUAGCCAGCGCGCAGAGGCGGGCACUCUGGGGAGACUGCCGGGGACAACCCGGAGGAAGGCGGGGACGACGUCAAAUCAUCAUGCCCCUUAUGGCUUGGGCUACACACGUGCUACAAUGGCGUCGACAAAGGGAAGCGAAGCGGUGACGCGGAGCAAAUCCCAAAAACGGCGCCCCAGUUCGGAUUGUAGUCUGCAACCCGACUACAUGAAGCCGGAAUCGCUAGUAAUCG